CCCAGGACCCACGGGAGGAGAUUGAAGGGGCAUCCCUCCAUGUGACAGAAAGGGGGCUGCAGAUGCAGAGCGGUCAGUUGUGGGCCUGGGGGCACGCGGUUCAGAUAUGUUGGAACCAGAUCCUGACCUAAGUCAGCCGCCAGGACUCUGUCCCUCAGGGAGGAAAGCACAAAGGUCGGGGAGGACGCAGAGAUUGGGGUCAGGCAAUUCCAUCUCUUCCGCUGGCGCACCUCCAUCCUGUGUUCAUCCAUGAGAUCUACCAGAGCUCCUGGUCCCUGCACGCGAUGUAAAGUCA